GGUUCCCCAGAAGAAGGGCCCAGGUGGGUGCCGUCCAGGGGCCUCCCUCUGCCUCUUAUGUUUCCUGGGUUCUCAGUUGGUUCUUUGCCCAGCAUCAAAGCCCACAGGUGCCCACAGGCAUGGUGGGAGGGGAGCCUGGGGGUGGGGACUUGGCUUUCCAGGCCCUGCAGGAGGAGGAAGGCCGCCCCCCGGCCAGCUAGAGGAAGAGCCUCUUGCAGGGAGCACACCCCGCCCCUCCCUGGUCCUGGCUGCUCAGGAGUGCCAAGAAACACAACUUAGACACGAAACGUGGAGGGGUGCGGGCUCCAUGGCUGCGGCUUUCUCGGGUCUUACUGUUGGAAGUGAACCAGGUGUCCUUAGGAAACUCUCUUAUAAACAACGCUGGAUUUUGUGGCUGUUUCCUUCAGGAAGGGAAGGAGUUUGCCGACAGCCAGAAGUUGCUGUUCAUGGAAACUUCGGCCAAACUGAACCACCAGGUGUCAGAGGUGUUCAAUACCAUGGCCCAAGAGCUACUGCAGAGAGACGACAGGGAGGGCCAGGCUCCUCGGGGGGACGCAGCUGUGGCUCUGAACGAGGGGCCCGCGAGGCAGGCCAAAUGCUGUGCCCACUAGGUGCAGCCACUCCUGGGGGCUGUGGGGAAGACGCCCCCUGCCUGGGCCGUGGCCAGCUCUAGGUGGAUUCUGAUUCACUGUCAAUGCUGGGUUGCUUCCAAGCCCUAGAUGUUCCUGGAAGUUGGCCCCCUUUAUAAAAACCACUUCCCACAGCCAGUGGGAACCUCCAGAGGAAGAUCUGGCGUUGCAUGGCUCCCAGGAAAGUGCUGUGCCCCAUCCCCACUGAUACCAUCUGAUUCCCCGAUGCCUGUGCCUGUCCCACCUGGACGGUGGCCCCCUCAGCCUGGCAGCCUCUGGAGAGGAAGGAAGGAUUGGAAAAGUCCCCC
rnacentral:sRNA from 1 species